CUUUUGUGGAUUAUUAAUAUUUGGAGAUUCUAUAUAUAUGGACAUCCCUGGUGAAGCUUUCUCAUUGCCUCCCUCGCAGUAAGAGCAAGUACAGGGACGUUAGGGCAUGCAGAGGACUGAAUAGGGAAACAAAGGCAUGGCGUCAAGCGAUUGAAGGCCGAGAUGGCAAAGAUCAGUGAGGAACAAAAUUGCAUUAGAGAGGGCCAAAGGAAAUUGAGAGAGAGGUUUUGAUGAGAAACAGUAUAUCUACUGCUUGGGUCAUGGCUCCAAUGUCUCCAUCUCCAUUUGAAGCUGCAAAAGUUGUGAUUAAUUCAGCUUUUCAAAUUUUACUUGUCUUCGACCUUGCUUUAUGCAUUUUUGAUCCUCACUAAUCUCUGCCAUCUCGGCUUUCAGACACUUUGAUACGA